ACAGGGAUUGCCCUAGUAACGGCGAGUGAAGCGGCAACAGCUCAAAUUUGAAAUCUGGCGUCUUUGGCGUCCGAGUUGUAAUUUGCAGAGGGCGCUUUGGCAUUGGCAGCGGUCCAAGUUCCUUGGAACAGGACGUCACAGAGGGUGAGAAUCCCGUACGUGGUCGCUAGCCUUUACCGUGUAAAGCCCCUUCGACGAGUCGAGUUGUUUGGGAAUGCAGCUCUAAAUGGGAGGUAAAUUUCUUCUAAAGCUAAAUACUGGCCAGAGACCGAUAGCGCACAAGUAGAGUGAUCGAAAGAUGAAAAGCACUUUGGAAAGAGAGUUAAAAAGCACGUGAAAUUGUUGAAAGGGAAGCGCUUGCAGCCAGACUUGCCUGUAGUUGCUCAUCUAGGUUUCUACCUAGUGCACUCUUCUAUAGGCAGGCCAGCAUCAGUUUGGGCGGUUGGAUAAAGGUCUCUGUCAUGUACCUCUCUUCGGGGAGAACUUAUAGGGGAGACGACAUGCAACCAGCCUGGACUGAGGUCCGCGCAUCUGCUAGGAUGCUGGCGUAAUGGCUGUAAGCGGCCCGUCUUGAAACACGGACCAAGGAGUCUAACAUCUAUGCGAGUGUUUGGGUGUCAAGCCCGAGCGCGUAAUGAAAGUGAACGGAGGUGGGAACCUUUCGGGGUGCACCAUCGACCGAUCCUGAUGUCUUCGGAUGGAUUUGAGUAAGAGCAUAGCUGUUGGGACCCGAAAGAUGGUGAACUAUGCUUGAAUAGGGUGAAGCCAGAGGAAACUCUGGUGGAGGCUCGCAGCGGUUCUGACGUGCAAAUCGAUCGUCAAAUUUGGGCAUAGGGGCGAAAGACUAAUCGAAC
rnacentral:rRNA from 1 species